UCAUCUAACAGAUUUACAGCCGAAGUGGUGGUGGAGGAGCCAUGGUUCUUCGCUUCCACAGGUUUCUCUUUGUGGGGCUCUAGUACCAUUUCAUUUCUGCCAAGCACAAUGGGUGCAGAAUGGGGUAUAAUCUUCUUCUUCACCCCUUCUAUCUCUUCGUCAACCAAACAAUCUGGAACCACUGCUGCACCGCGAUCCCUCCAGUUGAAGUUGGUCAGUGCACUGCGUCCACUUGCAAAUUUCUUCACAUUUGCCAGGGAGGGCACUUUCUCCAGACCCAAAGGCGUUAUUUGCCCGUGUUUUGCCUUCUUGAAGAGCUGAAAUUUUGGAGAUGAAUGACUAUUUUUCUUUACGUCUUUGGGACGUUUUUCUUCCAGUCUGGUUUCUUCUGUCGGAGGCAAGUCCUGCCUGUUGCGCCUGCUUAGCCUUGUUCUUUUCCUCUUCUUCUCCACUUGUCCUAUGCACGAAACUAUUGGGGAGCCAGGUUCCCGGGUGUCAAAGCUUCCAUUCUUCAGUCUUCUUUUAGCAUCCUUCAGGAUUAUCGACACAGCAGGAACCGAGAGCACUUUCCCGGGAGUGCCCUUUUUGGGACUGAUCGGCGGGCUCUGGAAGGUAACUGCAGGCGCCGUUUUAGGCAGAAACUAGAGCAACAUGCCUUUCAGUUUCCCUGGCUUCCCCUUCUCCAUCAGGUAAAUGAACUUUCUUUUAGCCGGCCAGAAUUGAGUAACGGGUCUUCACCAAUCAUUGUGGGUGGGGUACAUGAGGAUUCAGCUGGCUUUCUUUAUGAUGAUUGUGUCUGAAAUUAGAUAAGAAAUAAGCAGACCGUGCUCGUUCAGGUCCCGGUUAAAACCUAGUCAUGAAGCGAGAAGGCAUGCUUCCUUGGAGACCGAAUCACUCAGUUACCCAUGCUUAGCUUGGAGGUAGAAGCGAAACAGAACAAAUCUCACUGGACCACGCUUCACUCAUUCGAAUCUAGAGCAAAUGAUGGUCGUUCGAAUCUAGAGCAGACAUCGAUUGGGGAUGAUUACUUUCUCCAUACUUGUUGCCACGGCCAUUCUUUAGGAACUCUCGUGGUGUCGGGUCGCGUUUCAACCCCAUUGUCAUAUUAGUCGGACUGUCGUAGUCUCUUGGAGAAUUCGAUGCUGCACUAGCAUGAAUGUUUUUUCUAUCGUUUCGCGAUCUAAA